rnacentral:lncRNA from 11 species
GCCACUACCAUAUAAGGAGUGGGCUGUUCCCUCCUCCUUUAGCUUGGAUCUGGCCUUUUCUCCCAGGGCCUAGAACAUUUCCUACACACUGGCCUGGCAAGAAUCUCCCCACCCGUUUGGCCAUUUUCAUUGAUACACUAUUUAAAAGAUUAUUUAGAAAAUCUUCCUGACAGCCUGGAAUACAGACACAGAAAGGUAAGUCACUUCUCAUCAUGAAUUUCAUAUUCUCUGCUUAAACAUUGUUCCAAACAAUACC